rnacentral:rRNA from 1 species
GACGAACGCUGGCGGCGUGCCUAAUACAUGCAAGUUGAGCGAUGAAGAUUGGUGCUUGCACCAAUUUGAAGAGCAGCGAACGGGUGAGUAACGCGUGGGGAAUCUGCCUUUGAGCGGGGGACAACAUUUGGAAACGAAUGCUAAUACCGCAUAACAACUUUAAACAUAAGUUUUAAGUUUGAAAGAUGCAAUUGCAUCACUCAAAGAUGAUCCCGCGUUGUACUAGCUAGUUGGUGAGGUAAAGGCUCACCAAGGCGAUGAUACAUAGCCGACCUGAGAGGGUGAUCGGCCACAUUGGGACUGAGACACGGCCCAAACUCCUACGGGAGGCAGCAGUAGGGAAUCUUCGGCAAUGGACGAAAGUCUGACCGAGCAACGCCGCAUGAGUGAAGAAGGUUUUCGGAUCGUAAAACUCUGUUGGUAGAGAAGAACGUUGGUGAGAGUGGAAAGCUCAUCAAGUGACGGUAACUACCCAGAAAGGGACGGCUAACUACGUG